UACAGAGGUCCCAAGCGUUGUUCGGAUUCACUGGGCGUAAAGGGUGCGUAGGCGGUCGGGUAAGUCUGAUGUGAAAUCUCACAGCUUAACUGUGAAACUGCAUUGGAUACUAUCCGGCUCGAGGAAUGGAGGGGAGACUGGAAUACUUGGUGUAGCAGUGAAAUGCGUAGAUAUCAAGUGGAACACCAGUGGCGAAGGCGAGUCUCUGGGACGGUACUGACGCUGAGGAGCGAAAGCAUGGGGAGCGAACAGG
rnacentral:rRNA from 1 species